CACCGUGGUACAAACAGUGUAGGGGAUAAGGUCCGGCCAAGGCCUAUUCCCCCUCUCUCGCUCCCAACCCAACGUCUGCCUUCUGUUUCUCUCCAUCUCCUGGAGUUCCACCUUCUAUUUGGAAUAUCCCAAGAACGAUCAAAGAACGAAGAAAGAUCUAAUUUUUCUUAUGGGCUUCGACCGAAUCCUCUCUCCCUUCCCUCCUCCUUCCCCUCGCGUCCCUUACUGAGAGUAGAAGCAUCCGUUUUUUUUUUAGAAGCCGAAGCUAAAGCAAGCCAUGUCCGGAAUCGCCGCUUUCCAAUUCAAACCCUUUACUACUUUGUCUCGCGCGCCGACCGCCUCCAACCCUAUCAAGCCCUUCUUCCAUGCUGUCUUUCUUGUUGGAUUGCCCAAGAAACGAGUUCGGUCUUGCGGGCCCCCUUUUGUUACCAAGGUAGCGGUGGUGGCACGGUAUGGCAGCGGUUUCCGUCCCGGCCCAAGCUCCGGUGAUUCCAGGAGGUUCCGGCGUGAUAACCGUGUCGCCGAUCCUGACUACGAUCCCGCCCUCGAUCUUGACCGGGUCAAGUCAUCUUCUGUAAGGCUAUUGGAUGAGCAACAGAAUAUGAUUGGUGUAAUGUCUAAAAGUGAAGCCAUGCAAAUGGCAGAUGAUGCUGAUCUAAUUUUGGCAAUAUUGUCAGCAGAUGCAGAUCCUCCUGUCCUCAGACUCUUUGAGAGCGCGGAUUACAAAAAACAUAAGUAUGAACAGCAAAAGAAGAAAAAGGUGCAACAGAAAAGAUCUGCUGCAAGCCGUGUGGAUAUCAAAGAACUCAAAAUGGGGUAUAACAUUGAUUCUCAUGAUUAUUCUGUGAGGCUGAAGGCUGCUCAAAAGUUUCUUAAAGAUGGAGACAAGGUAAAAGUCAUUGUGAACUUGAGAGGCCGGCAAAAUGAAUUCAGGAACAUUGCUAUUGAACUUAUUAAGCGUUUUCAGAGUGAUCUUGGAGAGAUGGCAACUGAAGAGAGCAAAAGUUUCAGCGAGAGGAACAUUUUCAUGGUACUCAUGCCCAAUAAAGCGGUUCUACAGAAAGCUCAGGAGCAGCCAAAGAAGAAGGAAACACCAGUUACAGAAGUUUCAGCAAGUGCCUAAUUGAGUCAAGGUCGUGGUUUUGCAGUCACAUCAACAGGUUUGAAACACCAAAACAGCUUCUCCGUACAUGAGGAUAUUUUUCUUGCCUAGAUUUGAUUGGUAGGCGGAGAGAUGAUUGCAACAUAUUACGUUUGUAAAUAUUUGAGGCAAGAAAUUGUAGUAAGGUUUAUGUGCAAGGAGGCAAUGCUAAUUUAUUCUAUUAUCACCCAAAAGCCAAAUCAUUCUUGUUAUGCAAUGCACAAAUAAACUUCUGGCAAUGGUAUUGAGAAAUCUCAUGCGUUUUUCUGAGAUUGACGUAUGAUCUUCUGUAAGGUGGCCUAAGAGGACUUGAAGUUUCUGGCUUUGGACAGGGACUUCAUUCAUGCGACAGUGAAUGUAAUGUCUCGAUCAGCCCGCACUGUUGAAUUACUCUACUCUCGUCUCAUGUUUCCUUUGAUAGGGAAUUGGGCGAAUCUUUGUAAUGUUAAAUGCUGAGGCUCACAUUCUUAAUAGCAAAGUCUACUUUGAAAGACUGUACAUUAGAAGGAUAGCUGUAAUUUUUUCUUGGUAAUCUUCUUUACACAACCUAUGAAAGAAGAAUGCUAUCAGGAU